rnacentral:rRNA from 1 species
AGUGAACGCUGGCGGUAGGCCUAACACAUGCGAGUCGAACGGCAGCACAGUAAGAGCUUGCUCUUACGGGUGGCGAGUGGCGGACGGGUGAGGAAUACAUCAGAAUCUACUUUUUCGUGGGGGAUAACGUAGGGAAACUUACGCUAAUACCGCAUACGACCUACGGGUGAAAGCAGGGGAUCUUCGGACCUUGCGCGAUUGAAUGAGCCGAUGUCGGAUUAGCUAGUUGGCGGGGUAAAGGCCCACCAAGGCGACGAUCCGUAGCUGGUCUGAGAGGAUGAUCAGCCACACUGAAACUGAGACACGGUCCAGACUCCUACGGGAGGCAGCAGUGGGGAAUAUUGGACAAUGGGCGCAAGCCUGAUCCAGCCAUACCGCGUGGGUGAAGAAGGCCUUCGGGUUGUAAAGCCCUUUUGUUGGGAAAGAAAAGCAGCAGGUUAAUACCCCGCUGUUCUGACGGUACCCAAAGAAUAAGCACCGGCUAACUUCGUG